rnacentral:rRNA from 1 species
AGUGAACGCUGGCGGUAGGCCUAACACAUGCAAGUCGAACGGCAGCACAGGAGAGCUUGCUCUCUGGGUGGCGAGUGGCGGACGGGUGAGGAAUACAUCGGAAUCUACUUUUUCGUGGGGGAUAACGUAGGGAAACUUACGCUAAUACCGCAUACGACCUACGGGUGAAAGCAGGGGAUCUUCGGACCUUGCGCGAUUGAAUGAGCCGAUGUCGGAUUAGCUAGUUGGCGGGGUAAAGGCCAACCAAGGCGACGAUCCGUAGCUGGUCUGAGAGGAUGAUCAGCCACACUGGGACUGAGACACGGUCCAGACUCCUACGGGAGGCAGCAGUGGGGAAUAUUGGACAAUGGGCGCAAGCCUGAUCCAGCUAUACCGCGUGGGUGAAGAAGGCCUUCGGGUUGUAAAGCCCUUUUGUUGGGAAAGAAAUCCAGCUGGUUAAUACCCGGUUGGGAUGACGGUACCCAAAGAAUAAGCACCGGCUAACUUCGUGCCAGCCGCCGCGGUAA